rnacentral:sRNA from 1 species
UUGCGCAAGUAAUGUUUUAUUGAGCAAUCUUCGCAAUCGUGUGCCGUCUGCACAGGCCUAUGCUUUACACCAGAAUCACUGCCCGGACAUAGAGUCCACUGCGGCCCGCCGAAUCAGGCCAGCCGCGGCCGCCAACCCCACAGGGUUGCCCCGGCCCCCGGGCUACGCACUGUCCACAAGACGGAGCGAGGUGAGCCAACACCACACGUGUUGAGCCAGGACGAAAAAAUUCAAAGGGCGGCCGACGGGUCGCCCU